GACGCACUGUCUUUGCGCAUCUAUUACUUUCUUAUCAAUAACCGUCGCGUCGUUGCAUGCACAGUUUGCAGCCAGUUUCGUACCGGUCUCUGGUUUUCUAGAUGUGUUUUACGCGACUCGUGUUGUUUGAUCUGACUUCUAUUUUUCAUUAUACUCGUAUUUGAUCAUUAAUCGACUAUUUAAUUUUAACUUGUGACUAUUGUAAUGUUAUCUACUUGCGCAUUUAUUGCCCGGGUAGUUUUUGAUCGCGCUGAAAGUGUAUAUUGCCACUCACAAGGUUUCCAAAUUUAACUAAACAGCACAGAUUGUUUGAUUGUUUCUCCGCUGUGUGAAUUAUUUGCCGUGCCUUGGAGUCCGAUGAGUUCAGCAUAGUAUUCGCCGUACCUUCUACCGCUACCUUUGUACGGUGCCUUGAAUGGUAGUCACUUCUACCGCUACCUUCGCACGGUGCCCUAAAUGGGAGUCUUUAUGGAUCCUUUGUUGGAUGAAGCAUUGGCUUAUCCUGAGAUGACCAAGUUUAUGAGUAAGGACCAACUGGAGAAGUUGGUGGUACUGGUGGAGUGCGUAUUGAUUUUUUGAUUACUGAAGACGGAUGUGUCAAUUGGACUAAAGUUCCAAGAACUGUCCAAGAAAUUGAAGAUUGGAUUGCCGGUGUUGAUGAUAUUUCCAAAUACGAUUGAAAGAAUGUACAACAUUUGAAAGCUGUUAUUGAUAUCAUUUUUGUUUAUUUUGUUAAAAAUUCUCAAAAGAGCAUUACAUAAUUGCCUAUUAUUACCUUGUUUUCAUGAUUGUAUUGUUAAACAUGCUGUAUAUAUUGAGAAAUUGAGUUGGUUGUAUAUUCUACAUCUUUUAAUAAAAUUGUAGUUUUAUAUUUUUAUAAA